GUCGAACGGCAGCGGGUCCUUCGGGAUGCCGGCGAGUGGCGAACGGGUGAGUAAUGUAUCGGAACGUGCCCAGUAGCGGGGGAUAACUACGCGAAAGCGUGGCUAAUACCGCAUACGCCCUUAGGGGGAAAGGCGGGGAUCCUUCGGGACCUGUCACUAUUGGAGCGGCCGAUAUCGGAUUAGCUGGUUGGUGGGGUAAUGGCCUACCAAGGCGACGAUCCGUAGCUGG
rnacentral:rRNA from 1 species